GACGAACGCUGGCGGCGCGCCUAACACAUGCAAGUCGAACGAGCGAGAGAGAGCUUGCUUUCUCGAGCGAGUGGCGAACGGGUGAGUAACGCGUUAGGAACCUGCCUCAAAGAGGGGGACAACAGUUGGAAACGACUGCUAAUACCGCAUAAGCCCACGACCCGGCAUCGGGUAGAGGGAAAAGGAGCAAUCCGCUUUGAGAUGGCCUCGCGUCCGAUUAGCUAGUUGGUGAGGUAACGGCCCACCAAGGCGACGAUCGGUAGCCGGACUGAGAGGUUGAACGGCCACAUUGGGACUGAGACACGGCCCAGACUCCUACGGGAGGCAGCAGUGGGGAAUAUUGCACAAUGGGGGAAACCCUGAUGCAGCGACGCCGCGUGGAGGAAGAAGGUCUUCGGAUUGUAAACUCCUGUUGUUGAGGAAGAUAAUGACGGUACUCAACAAGGAAGUGACGGCUAACUACGUG
rnacentral:rRNA from 1 species